GGGACUUAAUUUGCAUGCGCAAACCUCAAACAUACCUUACUUUUUGAAAAUAACGGUAUAUAAAGGGGACGUGAAGUUAAUGUGAUCAGAUUUAAGCUAUAACGCAGGAAAUAACAACUAAAGGGAAAAAACUUUAAAGCAUUAUCAACACUAAUUUCAACCAGAAAAAACAGUUUAAGGUAAAUUUAGACUAUUUAUUUUGAGACUAUUUGUUGUUUAUAUGCAAUAUAUGCAUGGGUGUUAACUAUAAUGUCAUUAGGUUUCGGUGGAAAAGUUGUCUAACUGGUAAUCAUACCAGUCACCACAUCUUCUUAUUUUAUAUAAACGUUGAAUGCUAAUAGUUAUCAAAGGUACCAGGCUAAUAAUUUUAUACGCCAGACGAGCGUUUCCUCUACAUAAGACUCAUCAGCUAACAUCAAGCCAUCCAAGGAGAUUUGAUCAUUUAAUUCAUUGGUUUAAUAGAAAAGUUUCCCCCAGCUAGGUUUGAAAAUCCUAGAUUGUUUAAAAUAGAAUAAAGUUUCUUUGUCCAGGGGUUCUUUUUUUCAGUUGCCAGAAAAACUUUGGAUACAAGUGUGUUUUCAGACCUUAAAAUAUGAUAAAAAAAACUUAAUACAAGAAAAUGAUAUUUUUGACAACAACAGUAGCCUGCAAAGUUCAUCUCUACAAGCAGUAUUAAUUGCUUUACAAUGAACAACUAGAAUUUUUUUUAUGAAUUUCAUAUGGAAUUUUUCCAAAAUGGAAUUGUCUCCCGAAUUAUCAAAAACACCCCUAAUCUCACUACAAUACAGCAAUAUAGGGCUUACAUUUUGUACUAAUGAAUCAAAUAAUUUUUCUAAAAGUUUACAAGGAUCAUCCAGUCCAAUAGACAGCUUUCGAGUUCGAUGCAUUUCCGUCAAAAACUCUGGUUUUAGUGAACGUCAUUUGUGCGUUUAGGGGCGUCGUCACUUCCGUUCCAACGUUGAGCGAGUGGUUGGAAAACUAUAAUUCUAUAUUGUACGAAUUAAUCGGCAAAUUGAAUUCUCAAAAUUGACAAUCAGCAUUGCUGUCAUUAGGGAAUUGUCAUUAAGUACCUACAGAGCAACCAUUAUUUCUUGUUUAUCCUGCACAAUGACUAUCACUAAGACGCUUGAUGAACGUAAAUAGUACAGGGAUACAGGCAACCCCCUCUAUCUGGUAAAUGACGUCAUAAAGGCGCGUAUAAUUAACGAGUUUUUUCCGGUGACGGAUGAACUCGAAAGUGGUCUAUUGUUUUCUUAAUCUUAAAACAUGCUUUCCUAGCUUUUUCCAUUAGUAAGCAUGUAAGGAUACAGCUAAGUUAAAAUUGCCAUUACACUUUAACAUUAUUCCCAAGUAACAAUAUUUGGAGACCGUUUGUGUGGCAUUAUCAUAUGAUUAUAGAAAAACUCAUUUAGAUAUGUUUUACCAUUAGCAUUAAAUACUAAUUAUUGUAACCUUUGAUUUUUGAACAUUAACAUGUAGCAUCCAAUUUGAGCAAUAUGUACCAAGAAUAUUGAGACUGGUUUGUAAACCAGUUUUGCUUUCUGAUAGUAAUACAAUAUCAUCAGCAUAUAACAAACAAUUUACAGACAAAUCACCAACUCUAACUGGUUCACAGCUACCAUUGAAUAAAUCUUUUACGAUAUCAUCAAUAAAAAAAUAAAAAAGUGUAGGGCUCAAAACAUCCCCUUGUGUAACACCUCGCUCUGAAGUAAAUGCAGUACUAAGACAAUUUGAAAUUUAAUUCUAGUGGUAGUAUUUGCAUACAUAGCAGAAUUUUUUUUAAAAAGCUUUUUAGGUAAACCUGAUUUAAACCUGAUUAUAUAUAUAUACAUGAAUACUUAUAUUGUUGCAGGAUGGAGGAACCUGUUAUAGAACAGAUCUAUUGUGUAGUCUGUAAAGAGAAGACAAACAACUUACAAAUGGAAAUAAUUAUAGAUCCAUCAACUGGAAAAAGAAGAGCUAAAGCAUUUUGUGAAAUUUGCAAAAAAGAAAAAUCAAUGUUCCUAAAUUAAAUGGAAGUACAAACAUUUUGAUAAAUCAGAUAGCAAAAUAAACUAG
rnacentral:lncRNA from 1 species